rnacentral:rRNA from 1 species
GACGAACGCUGGCGGCGUGCUUAACACAUGCAAGUCGAACGGAAAGGCCCUGCUUUUGUGGGGUGCUCGAGUGGCGAACGGGUGAGUAACACGUGAGUAACCUGCCCUUGACUUUGGGAUAACUUCAGGAAACUGGGGCUAAUACCGGAGAGGAGCUCCUGCUGCAUGGGGGGGGUUGGAAAGUUUCGGCGGUUGGGGAUGGACUCGCGGCUUAUCAGCUGGUUGGUGGGGUAGUGACUUACCAAGGCUUUGACGGGUAGCCGGCCUGAGAGGGUGACCGGCCACAUUGGGACUGAGAUACGGCCCAGACUCCGACGGGACGCAGAAGUGGGGAAUCCUGCCCAAUGGGCGGCAGCCUGAUGCAGCAAGGCCGCGUGCGGGAUGACGGUCUUAGGGUUGUAAAACGAUUUCGUCUGUGACGAAGCGCGAGUGACGGUAAUGGGUAAAGAAGCACCGGCUAAACACGUGC